rnacentral:ncRNA from 1 species
GGGUGCGGCGGGUCGGUCCGCCGCAGGAAUCCGGUUGGUCGGGCCGCCAGCC